GACGAACGCUGGCGGCGUGCUUAACACAUGCAAGUCGAGCGGGGUCCAACCUGUCGCAAGACAGGGAAAGACCUAGCGGCGAACGGGUGAGUAACACGUGAGGAACCUGCCCCGAAGACCGGGAUAACACCGGGAAACCGGUGCUAAUACCGGAUGCCCUCAGAGAAUCGCAUGGUUCAUUGAGGAAAUGGAUUCCGCUUCGGGAGGUCUCGCGGCCUAUCAGCUUGUUGGUGGGGUAACGGCCUACCAAGGCUC
rnacentral:rRNA from 1 species